rnacentral:siRNA from 1 species
AGAAACGGGUAUUUUGUAUGUAGA